rnacentral:rRNA from 1 species
UACGAAGGGGGCUAGCGUUACUCGGAUUGACUGGGCGUAAAGGGCGCGUAGGCGGUUUGUACAGUCAGACGUGAAAUUCCUGGGCUCAACCUGGGGGCUGCGUUUGAUACGUGCGGACUUGAGUUCGGAAGAGGGUCGUGGAAUUCCCAGUGUAGAGGUGAAAUUCGUAGAUAUUGGGAAGAACACCGGUGGCGAAGGCGGCUCACUGGCUCGUUUCUGACGCUCAGGCGCGACAGCGUGGGGAUCAAACAGG